rnacentral:rRNA from 1 species
AGAGUUUGAUCCUGGCUCAGAUUGAACGCUGGCGGCAUGCCUUACACAUGCAAGUCGAACGGCAGCACGGGAGCAAUCCUGGUGGCGAGUGGCGAACGGGUGAGUAACAUAUCGGAACGUGCCCAGUAGUGGGGGAUAGCCCGGCGAAAGCCGGAUUAAUACCGCAUACGACCUACGGGUGAAAGCGGGGGAUCGCAAGACCUCGUGCUAUUGGAGCGGCCGAUAUCAGAUUAGCUAGUUGGCGGGGUAAAAGCCCACCAAGGCGACGAUCUGUAGCUGGUCUGAGAGGACGACCAGCCACACUGGGACUGGGACACGGCCCAGACUCCUACGGGAGGCAGCAGUGGGGAAUUUUGGACAAUGGGCGCAAGCCUGAUCCAGCCAUGCCGCGUGUGGGAAGAAGGCCUUCGGGUUGUAAACCACUUUUGUCAGGGAAGAAACGGUUGGAUCUAAUACAUUCGACUAAUGACGGUACCUGAAGAAUAAGCACCGGCUAACUACGUGCCAGCAGCCGCGGUAAUACGUAGGGUGCAAGCGUUAAUCGGAAUUACUGGGCGUAAAGCGUGCGCAGGCGGCUUUGCAAGACAGAUGUGAAAUCCCCGGGCUCAACCUGGGAACUGCAUUUGUGACUGCAAGGCUAGAGUACGGUAGAGGGGGGUGGAACUCCGCGUGUAGCAGUGAAAUGCGUAGAUAUGCGGAGGAACACCGAUGGCGAAGGCAAUCCCCUGGACCUGUACUGACGCUCAUGCACGAAAGCGUGGGGAGCAAACAGGAUUAGAUACCCUGGUAGUCCACGCCCUAAACGAUGUCAACUGGUUGUUGGACGGCUUGCUGUUCAGUAACGAAGCUAACGCGUGAAGUUGACCGCCUGGGGAGUACGGCCGCAAGGUUGAAACUCAAAGGAAUUGACGGGGACCCGCACAAGCGGUGGAUGAUGUGGUUUAAUUCGAUGCAACGCGAAAAACCUUACCUACCCUUGACAUGUCUAGAAGUUACCAGAGAUGGUUUCGUGCUCGAAAGAGAACUAGAACACAGGUGCUGCAUGGCCGUCGUCAGCUCGUGUCGUGAGAUGUUGGGUUAAGUCCCGCAACGAGCGCAACCCUUAUCAUUAGUUGCUACGCAAGGGCACUCUAAUGAGACUGCCGGUGACAAACCGGAGGAAGGUGGGGAUGACGUCAGGUCAUCAUGGCCCUUAUGGGUAGGGCUACACACGUCAUACAAUGGCCGGUACAGAGGGCUGCCAACCCGCGAGGGGGAGCUAAUCUCAGAAAACCGGUCGUAGUCCGGAUCGCAGUCUGCAACUCGACUGCGUGAAGUCGGAAUCGCUAGUAAUCGCGGAUCAGCUUGCCGCGGUGAAUACGUUCCCGGGUCUUGUACACACCGCCCGUCACACCAUGGGAGCGGGUUCUGCCAGAAGUAGUUAGCCUAACCGCAAGGAGGGCGAUUACCACGGCAGGGUUCGUGACUGGGGUGAAGUCGUAACAAGGUA